AGGGUAAGAAAAUACUAGUACCAAGUAGCUAUGCUUAUGUUUUUGCAAGAUUUCCAUCGGUCAUUAACUUGAUUUUCUUAUUUUUCAAUAGAAAUAUCAUACGAUCUCCGUAAAUGAAUAGUAUGGAUUAUAGGAUGAAUUACAAAUGUUUGCCUGGUUGACAAUUAUUGUUUGCAGAGGACAAGGCAAAGGAACCCGAACAAUAUGGAGGUCGGUGUCGUUAUGGCUGCUGUGGUCGUCGGGGCCCCUAUGGUUGUAGUAAGUGCUGCAGAACAGGUAAUAGUUGCACCAUUCAAAGAAACAGGAUUUAAAUGCGUGAACAGUAUUUGUAACUUAAAAAGUUGUGUUGUCCAUGUAGCUAAUGAAGCUGAAGCAACCCAAGUAAACGCUGACAUCAAUGGCAAUGAAGGCGGUGGACAUGGUGGUGGCGGCGGCUAUGGAGGUGGUGGCGGCGGACAUGGUGGUGGCGGCGGCUAUGGAGGUGGUGGUGGUGGCAGCGGAGGUGGUCAUGGUGGGGGAGGUGGUCAUGGUGGUGGAGGUGGAUAUGGUGGGCACUGCAGGUACGGCUGUUGUGGUGGCUAUGGCAAAUAUUGCAGGUGCUGCUACAACCCUGAAGAAGCUCAAGCUUUUGUACAAAAUGAGAACUGAGCCAAGCCAUAAAUCAAGGAAACUUCCAUGUACAAGUUUGCGUGAAUAACUACAUGGUUGAAUGUUGAUCUUAUGACAAAAAUAAAAUACUUAGUACAUGUGCUUCUGUGCUUAGCACAUAUGUAAGGAAUAAAAAGUUUCAGUCAUCAUUUGAUGAUGUGAAUUUCAACAAGUGUCCUUCAAUCCCAUGCCUGGAUUUUUUUUUUUUUUUUUUUUUUUAAAUUUGACAUCUGCUACUUGUCAUGUUUGUCUUUGCUCUUAACAUUUGCACUUGAAUGCUCCAGUCAAAAUUUAAGUAAAUUUGUGAAAUAAAUAAAAAUAGCAACACCAGACCAAUCAUUCAUGAUAGAAGUAGGAAGUAGGAAGCCAGAGAGAUAAUUGGAAAGUACACUCGAUUAAAGAAAAAACAACGAAAGCCACAUAAAAUCAGAAAAAAAAAAUUAAAUCGAGUGUAAUUGGCAGGGUACGUAUUCAUGCCACUGAUGGAGGCAAUGUAGUUGCAGGAAUUGCUGGCUUUGUGGGCUAUGACCAUAUAGAGUUGUAAGUAAUUUCUCACAGUAAAUGUUCUGCUUGUUCGUGGAAACAAGAGAACUAAAGCAUCAUCAGGUUUGACAAAUGCAAGUGCACAUCUUUGGACUUGGGAGUUGGGAGGACUCGGGAGCUAAUACCUACAUAGAAAAUGGGCGAUGGAUGAAGAAAGGUGCUACAGACUUUUUAUGUCCUCCAAUGUGGGUGGCAGAAUACACUUUCCUUGAAGUUGAUCAGCGAGAUUACUUUUGUGAUUGCUGAAAUUCAUGACAAAACGGUUCAACAUCUUCAAUCACAAAUUCGUCGAACUGCAAUUAUAAUCUCAUUGGACCAAACUCGAGUAAGCAAAUCAAAUCAAAUCGCUAAUGUCACUUCUUCCAAGUAGCGCUGACAUUCUAAGAUUGACAAGGAAAUGCAGGCUUUGACUCAUCAUUUACUUAAAGCAGGAUACAACAGCAAAAGAAAUCCAGAAGCAAAGAAUAUGAAACUAACCUGAAAACAAAGAUUUAGUAUUUCACAUUUAGAACAGUUACACGCAAAUCAAAAACAUUUUUGCUGCAUUGGGUCGGUGAACAUCCGUACAAGCAUGUGUUACAACAAGAUGUAUACAGUCUCAGGAGUCAUGCUACUAAAGUUUGAUGCCCGAUGCUCUCAGAAGAUAAAAUGGAACUCAGACACGUCGCUGAAGACUGGAGAGUCACUCAUCACUCAAAUGGUGGUCUUCUUAGACAAAGAAAUACCAUUAUCACAGCUGUUUAAGUAAAAUCCAACAGUCAAAGGCAACCAAAAAUAGUUAAAAUGAGGCAUAAAACAAAUAGAUUUCACAUCAGACUUCAACGACACUACUUGUAAGCUUGCAUUUCUGCAAAAGUGACUUAAGAAAGGGUGCCGGAUGAUAUGUUUGAGAAACCAAAGAUUGCAUUAGUUAAAUCCGCAUUUAAAUGCACAUUAUAUACUUAGCCAGUCGUAUUGACCAUCCCAAUUAGUCACGAGAAUCAUACAACUCAAGGCUGAUUAUCAAAUCAAAAGGAGUGGUUUGAAAACACAAAAUUUGGAAAAGAUGGCCAAUGGAAAUGUGGUUACAAGUACGAUUGAAUAUGAGAAACAUAACAAACUUGAUAGAUCUUCCUGCUGAAGUUAUUUGCUUUUCUUUUAAUUAGUUCAUAAAAUGUUAUUCGACUAUAAUAGUCAGCAGAAAGACAUCCAGAAAUUUUCUCACUCCAUAAUUGAAUUUAAGAAAAGAAAUUUAUACUAUAAGUUAAGUCUAUGCCAAUGAACAAGUUGCACAAAAUUAGUCCUUAAAUAACUGAAACACGGCAAGAUAUAUUUAUGAAAUACACCAUACUUGCAAGUAAGCUUAGUCAAUUUAAACAAGAAGAAGCAUCAGAUAAAUAAGAUCGUUUAAUAGUAAGAGGCAAAGGAAAGAAUAUUACCCAUGAUGCGAGCCUUAAGGGUGAUGAGGUUGCAGUCUCUUCAGAAAAAAGGGUCAUACUAAAGAACCAGAAGAGUUCUUAAGCCUUGUCUUAGCGCUUGAAAAAAACAAUAUCUCUGCCGCAGCUAACUUUGAUAGCUUCCUCCAAACUCUCCAUCUGAUCAAAAUCAACUUUGAAGGUUACCAUGGUAACACCAUCUUUUCCAGUGUCAUAAUCUUGCUUAAUGUCUUCAGCCCGAAAUGAUUGUAGCUGCAAGAUACACAAAUGGUGUAUUUGUGAGACAACUGUUUACGAUGUUGAGAUGCACUAAUCACAACCUCAUCAAACAAGUCAAUGCAUUGAUGACAUUUAGCAAACUGGUAAUAUAUGAAAAACUGACGUAUGCUCCACAUGUCAAAAUGACAAUCAAAACAUGAUUUGUCAUGACAAUAUUUGACAGUUAAUUAGCCAGCAACACAACCAGAAGAGAACUUAUAAAUCCUCUGAAUCUUACCUGAUGGUAGAGAACCCCCAAAAGGUCAUAUGGAAUCUCCAAGCCCAUUGGAACCUACAAAUCAAGAUCCUUGUCACAAUAUUUAAUUCAUGAAGCAGAUUUCAAUGUGCAAAGUACGAAGUGGAAAAGAAACUUAUAGAAUUAGACUACUAUUGAUUCAAUAGGCACAAGUUUUAGAGAAUGUAAAAGCCAGCAAGGAUGAGUUGUUACUUUGGACUUGACAAGACAAGUGGGGGCAUUUCUCAAACAAUCAGCAGCAACCCCUCCAUAAGCCCUGACUAAACCUCCGGUGCCAAGUUUAAUACCUCCGAAGUACCUAAAUUAUGAAAUGCAAAAAGAUGAACAUCUUGAAUAGCUUCUCUCCCUAGAUAGAAAAGCCAAAUAACAGACUAAUGGAUGUCAAAAACUUAAUGCAUGUAUCAAAAAAUGAAAAUUGUUACGUAAAAACAACACUCUCUACAUUUCAUUCACAAAAGAAACAUUUGAAUCAGAGCCAAAGGGAAAAAAGCAAUAGCAUGGCCCCAAAAAAUGUGCAACAUUUGUCUACCUGAUCACGACUACCAUAACUCUAUCAAUCCCAGAAGAUUCAAUUGCAGAAAGUAUUGGCUUGCCUGCUGUACCAGAUGGUUCACCGUCAUCAUUACUCCGAAACUGAUCCCCAACCUAGAAUUCACAAAUAACUGCAUUUGCGUCGAAAACAACCAACAAACAAAAGGGGCAAAGAGAAAUAAAAGCCUCAUAAUUGAUUCAAGUACCCCAAGAAUCACUAAUAACUAUCAUACCGGAAAAGAUCAAAUUUUGUACCUUAUAUGCCCAACAAUUAUGAGUAGCCUUGGGGUCACGAACCUUAUUUCCAAACAAAACAAAAAA
rnacentral:lncRNA from 1 species